GCCGGGUGUGAUGGCUCACACCUGUAAUCCCAGCACUUUGGGAGGCUGAGACAGGUGGAUCACUUGAGCCCAGGAGUUUAAGACCAGCCUGGGCAACAUGGCGAAACCCUGUCUCUA
rnacentral:SRP_RNA from 1 species